rnacentral:rRNA from 1 species
GUGAGGAAUAUUGCGCAAUGGAGGCAACUCUGACGCAGCCAUGCCGCGUGCAGGAAGAAGGCGCUACGCGUUGUAAACUGCUUUUAACCGGGAAGAAACCCCAGGACGUGUCCUGGGUUGACGGUACCGGAGGAAUAAGCACCGGCUAACUUCGUGCCAGCAGCCGCGGUAAUACGAAGGGUGCAAGCGUUAUCCGGAUUCAUUGGGUUUAAAGGGUGCGUAGGCGGAGCGUUAAGUCAGUGGUUAAAUCAUGCAGCUUAACUGUAGACUUGCCAUUGAGACUGGCGCUCUUGAGUGCUCUUGAAGUGGGCGGAAUGUGCCGUGUAGCGGUGAAAUGCUUAGAUAUGGCACAGAACACCAAUUGCGAAGGCAGCUCACUAAGGCGAUACUGACGCUGAGGCACGAAAGCGUGGGGAUCGAACAGGAUUAGAAACCCGAGUAGUCC